GAAGAGGAAGAAGAAGAAGGGCAGGAAAGGAAAGAUCAUAAUAAGCCUGCUAAUGGAGCUGAUUCCAUGGAGGUAAGUAGUGUCAUGGAUGAUCAGCAUGAAAGGUCAGCAACAGAGAAUAGUCAAGCUGCCGUGGGUGGGUUCAAUCAUGUAGCAACUUUAUCUGAAGCAGAUAUGCAAGAUCAGAUGGAUCAAUUCACAUAUAUCAUGCAUCAGAAGUUUUUGUUGGGAGAAGACAAUGAGCAUUUAGAUUACUCAAAAAUAGACAAUGAU
rnacentral:misc_RNA from 1 species